rnacentral:rRNA from 1 species
UGGCGGACGGGUGAGUAAUGUCCGGGAAACUGCCCGAUGGAGGGGGAUAACUACUGGAAACGGUAGCUAAUACCGCAUAACGUCGCAAGACCAAAGAGGGGACCUUCGGGCCUCUUGCCAUCGGAUGUGCCCAGAUGGGAUUAGCUAGUAGGUGGGGUAACGGCUCACCUAGGCGACGAUCCCUAGCUGGUCUGAGAGGAUGACCAGCCACACUGGAACUGAGACACGGUCCAG